rnacentral:rRNA from 1 species
GAUGAGCGCUGACAGAAUGCUUAACACAUGCAAGUCAACUUGAAUUUGGGUUUUUUAACUUAGAUUUGGGUGGCGGACGGGUGAGUAACGCGUAAAGAACUUGCCUCACAGCUAGGGACAACAUUUGGAAACGAAUGCUAAUACCUGAUAUUAUGAUUAUAAGGCAUCUUAGAAUUAUGAAAGCUAUAUGCGCUGUGAGAGAGCUUUGCGUCCCAUUAGCUAGUUGGAGAGGUAACGGCUCACCAAGGCGAUGAUGGGUAGCCGGCCUGAGAGGGUGAACGGCCACAAGGGGACUGAGACACGGCCCGUACUCCUACGGGAGGCAGCAGUGGGGAAUAUUGGACAAUGGACCAAGAGUCUGAUCCAGCAAUUCUGUGUGCACGAUGACGUUUUUCGGAAUGUAAAGUGCUUUCAGUUGGGAAGAAAAAAAUGACGGUACCAACAGAAGAAGUGACGGCUAAAUACGUG